rnacentral:lncRNA from 1 species
GUUGGAAGUUGAUUCAUUACUUAAUCCUACAUAAGAGAAAAGACAAAGAGAAGUGUGAGAAGAUGAAGAUGAUGAAGAAAGGAGAAGAAGCAUAAGGUGAAGAGAAGAACAAGUGUUUUGUCGUAGAAGGAGGAAGAAGAAGAAAGAAGAAAGAGGCCAUUGGGCCAUAUAAGUAAUUAGGGCUCAUAUGUGUUAAUGGGUUUUGUUUAUUAAGAAGAGUAUUAGGUUAAGGUUGAAACAAGUAAGAGUAGUAUAAAUAGUUUAU